rnacentral:rRNA from 1 species
GGAAAGAGCUUGCUCUUUCCGGAAUUGAGUGGCAAACGGGUGAGUAACACGUAAACAACCUGCCUUCAGGAUGGGGACAACAGACGGAAACGACUGCUAAUACCGAAUAAGUUCCAAGGGCCGCAUGGCCCAUGGAAGAAAAGGUGGCCUCUACCUGUAAGCUAUCGCCUGAAGAGGGGUUUGCGUCUGAUUAGCUGGUUGGAGGGGUAACGGCCCACCAAGGCGACGAUCAGUAGCCGGUCUGAGAGGAUGAACGGCCACACUGGAACUGAGACACGGUCCAGACUCCUACGGGAGGCAGCAGUGGGGAAUCUUCCGCAAUGGGCGAAAGCCUGACGGAGCAACGCCGCGUGAGUGAUGACGGCCUUCGGGUUGUAAAACUCUGUGAUCCGGGACGAAAAGGCAGAGUGCGAAGAACAAACUGCAUUGACGGUACCGGAAAAGCAAGCCACGGCUAACUACGUGCCAGCAGCCGCGGUAAUACGUAGGUGGCAAGCGUUGUCCGGAAUUAUUGGGCGUAAAGCGCGCGCAGGCGGCUUCCCAAGUCCCUCUUAAAAGUGCGGGGCUUAACCCCGUGAUGGGAAGGAAACUGGGAAGCUGGAGUAUCGGAGAGGAAAGUGGAAUUCCUAGUGUAGCGGUGAAAUGCGUAGAGAUUAGGAAGAACACCGGUGGCGAAGGCGACUUUCUGG